ACGGAAGGCAGCAGUGGGGAAUAUUGGGCAAUGGGGGAAACCCUGACCCAGCAACGCCGCGUGAAGGAAGAAGGCCUUCGGGUCGUAAACUUCUUUUACCAGGGACGAUAAUGACGGUACCUGGAGAAAAAGCAACGGCUAACUACGUGCCAGCAGCCGCGGUAAUACGUAGGUUGCAAGCGUUGUCCGGAUUUACUGGGUGUAAAGGGCGUGUAGGCGGAGCUGCAAGUCAGAUGUGAAAUCCCGGGGCUCAACCCCGGAACUGCAUUUGAAACUGUAGCCCUUGAGUAUCGGAGAGGCAAGCGGAAUUCCUAGUGUAGCGGUGAAAUGCGUAGAUAUUAGGAGGAACACCAGUGGCGAAGGCGGCUUGCUGGACGACAACUGACGCUGAGGCGCGAAAGCGUGGGGAGCAAACAGGAUUAGAUACCCUGGUA
rnacentral:rRNA from 1 species